GAUGAACGCUGGCGGCGUGCCUAAUACAUGCAAGUCGAGCGAACAGACGAGGAGCUUGCUCCUCUGACGUUAGCGGCGGACGGGUGAGUAACACGUGGAUAACCUACCUAUAAGACUGGGAUAACUUCGGGAAACCGGAGCUAAUACCGGAUAAUAUAUUGAACCGCAUGGUUCAAUAGUGAAAGACGGUUUUGCUGUCACUUAUAGAUGGAUCCGCGCCGCAUUAGCUAGUUGGUAAGGUAACGGCUUACCAAGGCAACGAUGCGUAGCCGACCUGAGAGGGUGAUCGCCCACACUGGAACUGAGACACGGUCCAGACUCCUACGGGAGGCAGCAGUAGGGAAUCUUCCGCAAAGGGCGAAAGCUUGACGGAGCAACGCCGCGUGAGUGAUGAAGGUCUUCGGAUCGUAAAACUCUGUUAUUAGGGAAGAACAAAUGUGUAAGUAACUAUGCACGUCUUGACGGUACCUAAUCAGAAAGCCACGGCUAACUACGUG
rnacentral:rRNA from 1 species